rnacentral:lncRNA from 1 species
GGACUGACACACAGCUUAAGUGGCCUUGGCACUGAUUGGGACAAGGAGGUGAGCACAGAGGCCAUUAAUGAGUUUGGUAUCUCGCAGUAGGCAGCAGAGAUCCAAUGGCAGGAAUGGAUAAUGCCCAGCGGGAACCCUGCAGUGGGGCUGCACAUUAGAGGUCUUUGGAAAAAAGCAAAGUGUUUGAGCCCAAUUUCUUAGGCAGCACCUCAGGGACAUAGCUCGAGCUCGCCUAGUCACAGGCCUCAGUGUGCCCAUGAGAUGAAUAUUAGCCUCACCCCGGUGGACCGCCUGGGCGGGCAAACGCUCUCUCACGCUGGCGGGCAGGAUUUGAACCCGGGUUCCUAGGGCUCUGCAGGCCGCCACUGUCCCCGUCCUCUCUCUGUCUCCGGCUUCUCCCGCCUGGC